CAGUCGCCGCGGUAAUACGUAGGUGGCAAGCGUUAUCCGGAAUUACUGGGUGUAAAGGGAGCGUAGACGGUUAAACAAGUCUGAAGUGAAAUGCCGGGGCUCAACCCCGGAGCUGCUUUGGGAACUGUAGAACUGGAGUGUCGGAGGGGUAAGCGGAAUUCCCAGUGUAGCGGUGAAAUGCGUAGAUAUUGGGAGGAACACCGGCGGCGAAGGCGGCUUACUGGACGACAACUGACGUUGAGGCUCGAAGGUGUGGGUAGCAAACAGGAUUAGAUACCCCUGUAGUCCCUGUCUCUUAUAA
rnacentral:rRNA from 1 species